ensembl:snoRNA SNORD22 Small nucleolar RNA SNORD22
UCUCUGUGAUGAGAACCCUGCAUGUCUUACGCUUUGUCGGAACCAGAACCUGAAAAGGUGAACCCACUGGUUCUGCCAAGGCAAGAAGGGGAUGACCUGUUGGUGUACCCAACUGUCUGAUGGGAC